rnacentral:rRNA from 1 species
UACAGAGGUCUCGAGCGUUAGGCGGAAUCACUGGGCUUAAAGCGUGUGUAGGCGGAUCGUUAAGUGCCUUGUGAAAUCCCACGGCUCAACCGUGGAACUGCUUGGCAUAUUGGCGGUCUUGAGCAACCUAGGGGCGAGCGGAACAAAUGGUGGAGCGGUGAAAUGCGUAGAUAUCAUGUGGAACGCCAAUGGUGAAAACAGCUCGCUGGGGGUUUGCUGACGCUGAGACACGAAAGCCAGGGGAGCAAACGGG